rnacentral:lncRNA from 1 species
GUUUAUCUCCGCCUACAACAUUUCGUCAUCUCUCCAAAUUUAUCCUCUAUUUCUCCCUUCUCAUUGCUUCUGUAUCUUUCUGCAACCCCAAAAGCACAACUUUAUACUUUCCCAAUUAACACUCAAAGUCUUACAUACAUCUCUUUUAUCUCCUCCACAAAACAAAUCCCACUUUUACACGUUCUACAGUAAUAAACUCCAUCAUUAUAUAAAAAAUUAAAUGAAUAUCAG